rnacentral:rRNA from 1 species
UACGGAGGGUGCAAGCGUUAUCCGGAUUCACUGGGUUUAAAGGGUGCGUAGGCGGGCAUUUAAGUCAGUGGUGAAAUACCUGAGCUUAACUUGGGAACUGCCAUUGAUACUAUUUGUCUUGAAUGUCGUGGAGGUUAGCGGAAUAUGUCAUGUAGCGGUGAAAUGCUUAGAUAUGACAUAGAACACCAAUUGCGAAGGCAGCUCACUACACGAAUAUUGACACUGAGGCACGAAAGCGUGGGGAUCAAACAGG